rnacentral:rRNA from 1 species
AACGAACGCUGGCGGCAUGCCUAACACAUGCAAGUCGAACGAUUGCCCUCGGCUGUUGGUGGCUCACGGGUGCGUAACGCGGGGGAAUCUGCCCUUGUGUCCGGAAUAACAGCUGGAAACGGCUUCUAAUACCGGAGGAUAAUGCCAGAUCAAAGAUCUAUCGCCUGGGGAUGAGGUCGCGUUGGAUUAGGUAGUGGGUUGGGUAAGGGCCUACCAAGCUGACGGUCCAUAGCUGGUCUGAGAGGGUGCUCAGCCACACUGGGACUGAGACACGGCCCAGACUCGUACGGAAGGGAGCAGAGGGGAAUAUUGGACGAUGGGCGCAAGCCUGAUCCAGCCAUGCCGCGUGAGUGAUGAAGGCGCUAGGGUUGUAAAGCUCUUUUACACGGGAAGAUAAUGACUGUACCGGGAGAAUAAGCCCCGGCUAACUCCGUG